UUGUAGGUACUUUCAAGAAAUAUAGUUAACUGUAAGUGCUGUAUUUUAAUAAUCUGUCAAAAAUCAAAAUCAUCAGGAUAAUAUUAGGUAUUGAUUUUCAAACAAGAAUUAGAUUACAGCGAUGGUCAAAAGCAUUUAGAUAUUGCUUUGAAAUCUACAGAUAAGAAAUACUGUCCACUUGCAGUAUUUACAUAGGAAAAUGUUGGAGGAUGAAGCUCUACCUACUGCCUCAGGUUAAUUUAAAUUCUGAGUUGCAACAACAGCAACAAGCAAGAAGGGCACCAUUAAAUGAAUAUUAUAUUAUUAUACAAAGAAAGAGUAAUGUUAUACACAUAAAUAUUAACAUUUUGUAGAGCAACAACAGAAUAAAAAAACAAAAUAUGAACACCAGCAACUAAAACAGGAACCAUUAAAUGAAUAUUAUAUACAGAUCAACAUUUUGUAGAGCAAUGACAGCAUCAAAUAAUGGAAAUAAUGGACCUUAUUGCACAAAUCAAAAACAAAAUUUCAGUAUUACUUUAUUGGUUAUAUCAAUAAAAGAAAUUGAGUUUAUCAGUCUAGAUCCUACAAGCAAGCAGAUCUAUCACAUAAUUUUAAAUGAAGAUUUAUCUAUCAUAGUAAUUUAUUCUAAUAACGAAAAAAAAACUUUGGAUCAAAAAAUAUUUUCUUCUGAUGAGGUUUAUGAAUAUUAAAGUCUGUUGAAGUUUGGCCAUUAUGUGUUGGUAUACAAUUUAUUUAUGAUGUUACAGUAGUUAAACCAUCCGAGUACGAAACAUGUUUAAUAUCCACUAUUCUUAAUGAAUGGAAACUACCAACUUGAGAGGAAGCUAAGAGAAAGGUUCUAUUGGGUGGACUACAAGGAAAAGGGAUAUACAUGAGGAUCU